UCUCCAUUCAUGUCAGGAACCCCCGGGACGCGCUCGGGAGAAAGGCCCGGGCGGGCCGCGCCCCUGGCAGCCCCCGGGGAUGCGCUGCGAGCGGGGCUGUGACAUUCGCCCGCGAUUGAACCCGGCCCGUCCCUGCCGCGGCCGCCAGAAGAAAGAGAAGAAAGGGAAGUGUAGGGAGGAGAGAAUGCGAGUGACAGAAAGAAGGAUUGAAAGAAGCAGCGCGAAGAAAGGAAGAUAUCCCUGCGCCGCGCUCCUUUAUCAGCGCUGUCAUCUGGAGCAGGGCCCUGCCCGCAUUGUCUCACCUUGGGCCGAACAAAAAAAGGGAUUUUUUUUUGUGCGGAUUCCUUUAGAGCUGCCAGGACCCGCACCUUAGGGGGUCGCGGGAGGCUGAAUGUGCAGCUGACAGCCCCGAGCGGCCCCGGGUGAUAUCAAUAAACCCCGACACUCCGCUCUUCAGCACUGCUCAUGUGGAAGAGCCAUGGAAAACCCUGGAAUUUCCUGAUCCACAGGCAAAGAACCUGAAAUCCACCUGAAUUCCAACACCUGGCUCCAAACCCUCCCCACUCGGGUUCAGCCCAGUUCACCACAACCACAAAUCCAUAAAUUAUCCUCGUUAUGAUAAAUCCAUAAAUUAUCCCCAAAGUCCUGCAGGAACGGCACAAAAUUCCCUCCAAGAAGCGAAAUUCCACCUUUGUAUCCUUUCCAAUUCCCACAGAACAGCACUUGGAUCCAUUUCAUUCUCACAGCAACAAAGUUCCCCUUCCAACCCUUCAAAAUUCUGUCAAAACCAUGGAAAAGGUUGGAUUGGGUGUCUUGUUUCACGUAUUAAAGAAGUUCAGUGAUAUUUCUA